ACCCGGACCGGAGGCCGCCUUAAUGCCCGAUCCAGGGCCAGGUGAAGUUCCUGCAGCAGCCGCUGCUCCUCCGCCAGCUCUCUCGGAGUUCGUAGAGCUGCUGUUUUGGCAGGCUCGGAUCUCGGUGACAGAAGCCUCUGGCCAACACCUCAAGGAUCCGGCUCCAGCCGAACCGCCCAAGCUAUACCCGCCUCUCCAGGGAUGACCUGCUCCGCCCAGACUGCUGCUGGCUGCCGAGACCGAGGAAAAAUGCUGGAAAGGGACAAAAGCACUGUUCCGGCUGUUGAUGGAAGCAGGUUACCCGGUGUCGAAGAAGAAGGCACAGAUCUACAAAGAGGAGUUAAAGUUGCAGGUAUUGUCCCUUGAUCCAUCAUACGAGGGUGAAGACAGCAUACCACGCAGACCCAGAAAAUGCUGAGUGGACUACACAGAGGGACCCCGCUGACCCUCGAGAGACUAAGACCAUCCUUAAGAAGAAGGAAAAGAAGAUCCCGGAUGAACCCCUUCAAGAUGAUGCCGCACAAUCAACUCCUGCUGCUUGGCCUCAUCAACGUGAUUUUGAAUUUAACUUCUGUUUCAACUCAGGACAAUGUUUUCAUCUCAUGGACACAUUCCUAUGCAGACUUCCACAACAUUUCCAACUGCUGGGUAUGUGGGGCUAUACCUCUGUCUGUGACGGAUGGACUUCCUUGGUGGGUGUCACCACUCUGCCAAGGAGAUUUUAAACCACUCCGCUCUUUUCUGGGAUGACAAAAAGAGACUUUCCUCUCUCUUGUCAGUCAUAACCUCUCCUUGCUGUCUUGGUGUAAGACCUACAGUCAAUAGACUUGGGUCAUGGGGUUACAUUUGAUAUAAAUGCCAAUGUAACAAGAGCCUAACCUACAACAAGCCCUGGUAAAUCUACCUUAUUUACAUGCUAGGUGGACAAGAUCUGUGUUUCAAUGGUAUGAGUAUAUUGCUGCCUUAGUUGUACCCUCUAACGGGACAACAGAUAUUAUGAUUAAAGUAGAGACCUUGACUAAUUUCACAAAACAGGCCCUCCUAGAUAGAACAAAAGCCAUCCAAGUCUUAAAUGAAGAGCAAAUCCAAAUGAGAAAAGCGGUAAUUCAUAAUAGAAUGGCUUUGAACAUACUAACAGCUGCCCAAGGAGGGACCUGUGCUAUAAUUAAGGUUGAAUGUUCUGCAUACAUUCCUGACUUAUCUGGCAAUGUAUUGGCUGCUUUAGAUGACAUGAAAAACCAGGUAAAAUCAAUGUCAAAUAAAAACAUUCCUUUCUGGACUUCGGUCCUAUCUUGGGUGAAGGGCAAUUGGUGGAAAACUAUAUUUACUACUGUUAUAGUUGCCCUGAUAGUUCUGCUUUGUGGACCCUGAAUUUUACAAUGUAUUAUGAACUUUGUAACCCAGAGGUUGAUAGCGUUCUCUCAUGUGGGUGGCCAGAGGGCUAGGGUAUAAUAUAUCGCAAUAAAUGAUGCUCGUUACAGAAACUAGGAGCAUCAAGAGGGGGAAAUGAAGAAGGAAUUCAUAGGGCCUGGACUCCAUCUUAGGCCUGCUCAUGCUGACCAUGCUCGGCCGCCUCUCCAAUGGUCUCUGAACUCUGUGUUAGUGCUUGUGGAAACGACAACAGAAGGCUAAGACCCCCUCCGGACAGGGGAACCUUGAAGAUCGUAUCCAGGUUACUCAUCGCCUAAGUGAGCACAUACACUAAUCACCCCUUCCUCCAGACAGGCCAUAAAUUUUCUGUACCUAUCGGAGUGUAACCUCGGGCUUAUUGAUUAUUGGCUAAUUGUUUAACUGUCUGAGCACAUGGCACAUGAAUGAUGGGGUUAUUGGGAUUGUAUUUACCCUUCUUUUGUUUCUGUAAGUCUCAAGGAAUUUGGGGUGGUGGGUUCGGACACGUACACAUGGGGUAUAAAAGAUUUUCACAAAUGCUGGUCGGGGUCCUUGGCUAAGAGAAGACUCUGCCUUGGGCCCGCCGGUGUAACAAACUGCACUCCACUAUCUGCAUUGUCCUUCUGAGUGAGUUUGUUUCCCGGAACGCGUGGCCACAACAGUGGUAACAGCUCCCCGCAGGUACAUUCCUGGGAGUUGUACCGUCUCAGUCAAAAUCAGGUUGAUUUACAGAAAAUAAUGAAGAGAGGCGACACUGCUUGCGGCCCUGACUUGGAGGAUGGAGUGAAGCCUGUGUGGUGCUGUCAUAGCACCCAUGGGUGGGAGGCAGGGUGCUGCUUUCCUGCAUGUCUUUUCUUGCACAUCCUGGGGACCUUUAGGUGCUGGGGGAAGACCUCCCAGGAGGUCUCUGGGGAGAAAGGGUCCUGCCAGUUGACAGAACAGGCAUGGGCUGGCUUUCAGG